GUGGGACCAAGCUCCUUCCCUGGGAAUUACUCUCAGCAUCUCAGCAUCAAACUACCAGAGUUUUAAACUGUGUCUGCUUACCAAAGGUUUCAUAGGAAUGCUCUGCUUUCAGAGAGUGGGGGAAACCUAUCUGACAUUGAGAAGUGAAAACUUCUCCCAUCCUGGAGCUGCUCUCUUAGAUGUUCAUGGGAAUCCAAUUCCAGAAGUGGAAAGACCUUGGGGAUCACCUAGGCCCUGGAUACCUUUCGUCUUUAUGGAAAAUAAAUUGAUCCCCAGACAGGUGGAAGAUUCCAU
ensembl:lncRNA